rnacentral:tRNA from 1 species
GCGACACUAGCUCAGUUGGUAGAGCGCAAUCUUACCAAGGUUGAGGUAACGGUUAUGUGUCGCUCCA